rnacentral:rRNA from 1 species
GACGAACGCUGGCGGCGUGCCUAAUACAUGCAAGUCGAACGCAGUGGGGACGGGGGAGUAACACGUGGGUAACCUCCCAUCAGAGGGGAGAACACUUGGAGACAGGUGCUAAACCGAUACUGGUGGAUGAACCCGCGGUGCAUUCGUUGGUGGGUGAGGUAACGGCUCACCAAGGCCACGAUGCAUAGCAGACCUGAGAGGAGGAUCGGCAACACUGGAACUGAGACACGGCCCAGACUCCUACGUUAGGCAGCAGUAGGGAAUAUUCGGCAAUGGACGAAAGUCUGACCGAGAAACGCCGCGGGAGUGAAGAAGGUUUUCGGAUCGUAAAACUCUGUUGUUAGAGAAGCGGUAUCUAACCAGAAAGCCACGGCUAACUACGUGCCAGCAGCCGCGGUAAUUC